rnacentral:lncRNA from 1 species
CGCACGCGCGCGCUCCCUCCUGCUGGUGAGGACGCGUGUCCAAGAGCCCCCGGCGGAGUGGCGGGGAAACAGCCGCCUUGGCCCGCGCAUGCGCCUUCCGGGGCCGCCAAAGCCGGCGUUCGCUAUCCGGGGCCCAGCAAGUGUCGGCAGGAGCAUCCGAUCAAACCAGGAUGGGAGAGACACAGACCACGAGAAAGGGCUGUGAGGGCGACCCGCCGUACCCUGCCCUGGAGUCAGUGACGCUUACUGCCUCAGAGAACUCAGGAAUGGGAGCUCUCAUUUGGUUUACAGACUUCGGUGUCUGCAUACUACUCUGCCUCCUGGCUUCUUACACAAACCUGUACUUUCCUGAGAGAGAAUACUUCUUAGAAGAUCCAGACUAUACUCCAAACUUCCUGGCUUCAUAAAUCAUGGCUGUGUACGAGUUCCUGUCAUGGCACAGCAGAAACGAAUCCGACUAGGAACCAUGAGGUUGCGGGUUCAAUCCUGGCCUCGCUCAGUAGGUUAAGGAUCUGGUGUUGCCAUAAGCUGUAUUGUAGGUCGCAGAUGUGGUUCAGCUGUGGCAUAGGCCGGCGGCAACAGCUCCAAUUAGAUCUCUAGCCUGGGAACCUCCAUAUGCCACGGGUGCAUCCCUAUAAGGACAAUCAAUCAAUCAAUCAAUCAUGGCUGUGAAGAAGAACUUGAGUAAACUUGGACCUAUUUUACAAACCCAUUUAAUUCUGCUAAUGAUGAAGAAUAAAUCAAAUGUGAUGUCAGCAUUUCUAACCUGACCUGGAAUAACUCAGAAAACCCAAUGAACACUGAUAACCAGGCUGAUGGACAGACUUUGGCUGGGCCUUCCCAUGCAUUCUUAUCUGCUCCCUCAACCUCUGGGAUGGAGCUCCUGAAGCUUGGAUCCCUGAAUUGACUGACUCUGCUGCCUGGGAUGAUGAGAGCCUCUCUGCCUGUGUUAUGAUGGUCUUCACUGUGUUUCCUCCUGUGUUUGAAUCAUCUUUGUAUCUGGUGCUCAUCUAGGCUCUACAAGGAUCCAUGUUUCAGCUGUGCCACUUCCCAAAUGGGAUCUUAGCAACUGACUUAGGCUCACAAAGCCUCCAUUUCCUAGCCUGCAAAGUUAGAAUAAUAGUAGUUCUCAUUGUAGCUCAGUAGGUUCAGAAUCCAACAUGUGUCCAUGAGGAUGCAAAUUCAAUCCCUGGCCUCUAUCAGGGGGUUAAAGAUCCAACAUCACCACAAGCCACGGCAUAGGUCGAAGAUAAGGCUUGCUGUGGCGUAGGCCAGCAGCUACAGCUCCAAUUCAACCUGUAGCCCUGGGAACUUCCAUAUGCCACGGGUGCAGACAUUAAAAAAAAAAAAAAAAAAAGGUUAUAAUAUUAGCCUCUCUUAACUGGGUGGGGGUGUGUGUUUGGUUGUGAGAGUGGAGUGGCUAAUGUAAGUAAAACAUACCAACAAGUGCCUGGCAUACACAUGACCAACUUUUUUUUUUCUUCUUUUUUUAGAGCCACACCCACAGCAAAUGGAAGUUUCCAGGCUAGGGGUUGAAUCAGAGCUGCAGCUGCUGGCCUACACCACAGCCACGGCCAUGCCAGAUCCGAGCCAUGUCUGCAACCUACACCACAGUAUAUGUCAACACCAGAUCCUUAACCUACUGAGCAAGGCCAGGGAUUGAACCUGCAUCUUCAUGGAUAUUAGUCAGAUUCAUUUGCACUGAGCCACGACAGGAACUCUGUCACAUGAUCAACUUUAUUAUUAAUUGGUUCUCUGGUGGGUGAUCUUGAGGUAGGAGGUAGAUGAGCCCCUGGGCUGAAAACAGCUGGGACUUGUUAAGCCAAGUAGAUUGGGCCUUGCCUCUCUAACACCUCAAGAAGAAAGUUAAGAGCUGGAGCUGAGCUCUACUAGAGUAGAAAGAUAAGAUUGACCACUUCAUUCGAUCCUGGUGUCAAGAAGAGCUCCCCAAUAACCCAUGCACAGUAAGACCCCUAAGGAUCAAAAAAAGGAGGGGGCACCAGACCAUAAUUAAGCCCUGAUACUGUCCCAGCAUCCCUUGCUCUGGAAUCCGUCUUUGCCAAAAGAUGUACAUGCAUUAAGGGGAGGGGCCUGUGUCCAGUCAGGUGUGAGAAAUAAAACAAGAUAUAUGGCCAAAGGUAAACAAACACCCAGGAGUACUGUCCUGUAUAAGUGAGUUAAAUCACCUCUCUAGUGCACUGCUCACUCGGGGACAGCCGCGCCUGCACUCCCCUUCAGGUGUGUAUUAUUUCUUUGCUUCUGACUUAAAUAAAAACUACUUCUCUGUGUGCUCUCCCACAUGUUGUACAAUAAACUUUAUACCUGUUUUCACAAUCUAUGCCUCUUUGAAACAUUCUUGCUGUCAAC